rnacentral:rRNA from 1 species
AGAGUUUGAUUAUGGCUCAGGACGAACGCUGGCGGUGCGCCUUAUGCAUGCAAGUCGAGCGAAGCUUUUCAGUAGUUUACUACAGAAAAUGGCUGAGCGGCGAACGGGUGAGUAACGCGUGAGCAAUCUACCUUAGUUACAGGGAUAGCCCGAGGAAACUCGGAUUAAUACCUGAUAUUCUUUACAUUUCGCAUGAAAUCAAAAGGAAAGGUCAGCCGAACUAAGAUGAGCUCGCGUUCUAUCAGCUAGUUGGUGAGGUAAAAGCUCACCAAGGCAACGACGGAUAGCUGGUCUGAGAGGACGAUCAGCCACACUGGGACUGAGACACGGCCCAGACUCCUACGGGAGGCUGCAGCAGGGAAUAUUGCGCAAUGAGCGAAAGCUUGACGCAGCGACACCGCGUGUGGGAUGACGGAUCUAGGUUUGUAAACCACUUUCAGGAGGGAAGAAAAUGACGGUACCUCCACAAGAAGCCCCGGCCAACUACGUGCCAGCAGCCGCGGUAAUAC